CCCUUAGAUGUUCUGGGCCGCACGCGCGCUACACUGACGAAGUCAGCGAGCAUGUCCUACGCCGACAGGUGCGGGGAAUCUUGUCAAACUUCGUCGUGAUGGGAUUGAUUAUUGAAAUUCUUGAUCAUCAACGAGGAAUUCCUAGUAAGCGCAAGUCAGCAGCUUGCGUUGAUUACGUCCCUGCCCUUUGUACACACCGCCCGUCGCUACUACCGAUUGAAUGGUUUAGUGAGAUCUUCGGAUUGGCGCCACUGCGGCUCAGCAAUGGGCUCGGUGGAUGCCGAAAAGUUGAUCAAACUUGAUCAUUUAGAGGAAGUAAAAGUCGUAACA
rnacentral:rRNA from 1 species